rnacentral:rRNA from 1 species
UAACAAGGAUUCCCCUAGUAACUGCGAGUGAAGCGGGAAAAGCUCAAAUUUAAAAUCUGGCAGUCUUUUUUUGACUGUCCGAAUUGUAGUCUGGAGAAGUGCUUUCCGCGCUGGACCGUGUACAAGUCUCUUGGAACAGAGCGUCAUAGAGGGUGAGAAUCCCGUCUUUGACACGGACAAUCAGUGCUUUGUGAUGUGCUCUCAAAGAGUCGGGUUGUUUGGGAAUGCAGCUCAAAAUGGGUGGUAAAUUCCAUCUAAAGCUAAAUAUUGGCGAGAGACCGAUAGCGAACAAGUACCGUGAGGGAAAGAUGAAAAGCACUUUGGAAAGAGAGUUAAACAGUACGUGAAAUUGCUGAAAGGGAAACGCUUGAAGUCAGUCGCGUUGGCCAGAACUCAGCCUUGCUUUUUUGCUUGGUGCACUUUCUGGUUGACGGGCCAGCAUCAAUUUUGACUGCUGGAUAAAGGUUGGGGGAAUGUGGCACCUUAGGGUGUGUUAUAGCCCUCAGUCCGCAUACAGUGGUUGGGAUUGAGGAUCUCAGUACGCCUUUAAGGCAAGGGGCUUUAACUUCCCUAUGCUCGUGCUUACGAUGCUGGCAUAAUGGCUUUAAACGAC